CCUACGGGUGGCAGCAGUAGGGAAUCUUUCACAAUGGGCGAAAGCCUGAUGGAGCAACGCCGCGUGCAGGAUGAAGGCCUUCGGGUUGUAAACUGCUUUUAUAAGCGAGAAAUAUGAUGGUAACUUAUGAAUCAGGAUCGGCUAACUACGUGCCAGCAGCCGCGGUCAUACGUAGGAUCCGAGCAUUAUCCGGAGUUACUGGGUGUAAAGAGUUGCGUAGGUGGCAUAAUAAGUAGAUAGUGAAAUCUGGUGGCUCAACCAUUCAGACUAUUAGCUAAACUGUUAAGCUCGAGACCGUUAGGGGUAACUGGAAUUUCUAGUGUAGGAGUGAAAUCCGUAGAUAUUAGAAGGAACACCAAUAGCGUAGGCAGGUUGCUGGGACGGUUCUGACACUAAGGCACGAAAGCGUAGGGAGCAAACGGGAUUAGAUACCCUUGUAGUC
rnacentral:rRNA from 1 species